AACGAACGCUGGCGGCAUGCCUAACACAUGCAAGUCGAACGAGAUCUUCGGGUCUAGUGGCGCACGGGUGCGUAACGCGUGGGAAUCUGCCCUUUGGUUCGGAAUAACAGUUGGAAACGACUGCUAAUACCGGAUGAUGACGAAAGUCCAAAGAUUUACCGCCAGAGGAUGAGCCCGCGUAGGAUUAGCUAGUUGGUGUGGUAAAGGCGCACCAAGGUGACGAUCCUUAGCUGGUCUGAGAGGAUGAUCAGCCACACUGGGACUGAGACACGGCCCAGACUCCUAGGGGAGGCAGCAGUGGGGAAUAUUGGACAAUGGGCGAAAGCCUGAUCCAGCAAUGACGCGUGAGUGAUGGAGGCCUUAGGGUUGUAAAGCUCUUUUACCCGGGACGAUAAUGACAGUACCGGGAGAAUAAGCUCCGGCUAACUCCGUGCCAGCCGCCGCCGUAA
rnacentral:rRNA from 1 species